AAGAGAGAGAGAUUUAUGACAAUGGGGAUUAUGAGCAGUUGAAAAUGUGUUCUGAAAACAAUUCAUUUUAUCACAGGAUCUGGAGUUGAGGGUUUAAUUCUCGGUCCAAGUAAAGGGAAUGCCUUGGUGUGCAACAGCAAUGAUUUAAGUAAGCAGGUUCCAUCAACUCCCAUCCUGGACAUAACUGAACAACAAUCACAGAUGAUGAUUACUAAUGUACAAUGAAUAAAAGGACAACAUUGGAUAGCAUAAUAAUGUAGAAGAACUAACCAGCAACAAAGAAAAAACACGUGAAGCAUGACUACAGUAAAGCAAAGCAAUAUAGAGAAAACCUUGCCAUUAACAAAAUGCAACAAGAUCUGGACAAUAUCCAAGCUUGGGCUGACAAGUGGCAGGUAACAUUCGUGCCACAGGCAAUGACCAUCUAAUCACCAUCCUUUGACAUUCAAUAGUGAUAUCAUCACUAAAACCCUCAUUAUCGACAUCCUUGUGGUUAGCAAUAACCAAAAACUUAACUGGACUCACCACAUAAACAUGGUGGUUACAUGAGCAGAUCAGAGGCUAGGAAAACUGUGAUGACUAACUCACUGCCUGACUCCUCAAAGCCUGUCCACCAUCUGCAAGACACAAGUCAGGAAUGCGAUGGAAUACUCCCCACUUGCCUGGAUGGGUGCAGCUCCAACAACACUCAAGAAGUUUGACACCAUCUAGGAGAAAACAGCCCACUUGAUUGGCACCACAUCCACAUAAAUCCACUCUCUCCACCAUCGGCACCCUGUGGCAGCAGUGUGUACUAUCAACAAGAUGGAUUGCAGAAAUUUACCCAAAAUUCUCAGACAGCACCUUCCA